ensembl:lncRNA LINC01892 long intergenic non-protein coding RNA 1892
GAGGAGGAAUUGAGAGGUGAAGCCAGCUGGGCUUCUGGGUCGGGUGGGAACUUGGAGAACUUUUCUGUCUAGCUAAAGAAUUGUAAAUGCACCAAUCUGCACUCUGUAAAAACACACCAAUCAGCACUCUGUGUCUAGCUAAAGGAUUGUAAACACACCAAUCAGCACUCUGUAAAAACGCAUCAAUCAGCACUCUGUAAAAUGGACCAAUCAGCUCUCUGUAAAAUGGACCAAUCAGCUCUCUGUAAAAUGGAACAACCAGCAGGAUGUGGGUGGGGCCAAAAGGAAUAAAAGAUGGCCACUCCAGCCAGCAGCUGCAACCCGCUUGGCUCCCCUUCCAUGCUGUGGAAGCUUUGUUCUUUUGUUCUUCACAAUAAAUCUUGCUGCUGCUCACUCUUUGGGUCCACACUACCUUUAUGAGCUGUAACACUCACUGUGAGGGUCUGUGGCUUCAUUCCUGAAGUCAGCGAGACCACAAACCCACUGGGAGGAACAAACAACUCUGGACAUGCCACCUUUAAGAGCUGUAACACUCACUGCGAAGGUCUGAGUCUUCAUUCCUGAGGUCAGCGAGACCAUGAACCCACCAGAAGGAAGAAACUCCGGACACAUCUGAACAUCUGAAAGAACAAACUCCAGACACACCAUCUUUAAGAAUUGUAACACUGCAAAGAUUCAGAAUUUGGCUGGAUGCUCCUAAAGAGCUACUGAAAUAGACUCAAUGGCAGCUACGAUGCCCAACAGAAGCAGCGAUGCCUGGUGCACAUAGCAGGUUGCUAGCAGGAGUCAUCUGGGGUGAUUCACCUGUCUUGUUGGUGAGGAUAUGGACAUCAUCUGGGGACUCUCAGAAAUCCCUGAAGUGAUAUAGAGUCCCACAUGAGCUUGCCUGUGGUGUUUUACAAACCAAUAACGUAGUGUUCAUAAACCAAAGUCACUUGGAGGCAUUGUCAAGUUCUACGUAAAGACAUUGAUGAACAAGACAUAGAGAUCCCGGUCCUGAAGAAACUUACAGCCUGACCAUGACAAAAGGGCCUACUCUCAAAUAUCUAUAAUGUUGACUGGCACAAUCUAGUAUUUUCCUUCACUUGUUCAUGUCAAUAAAGGAAAAUAAAAAGU